rnacentral:rRNA from 1 species
CCUACGGGUGGCAGCAGUGAGGAAUAUUGGUCAAUGGGAGAGAUCCUGAACCAGCCAAGCCGCGUGAGGGAAGACGGCCCUAUGGGUUGUAAACCUCUUUUGUAGGGGAACAAAACCCGGGACGUGUCCCGGACUGCGUGUAUCCGAAGAAAAAGCAUCGGCUAACUCCGUGCCAGCAGCCGCGGUAAUACGGAGGAUUCGAGCGUUAUCCGGAUUUAUUGGGUUUAAAGGGUGCGUAGGCGGUUCGGUAAGUCAGGGGGGAAAUUGGGGGGCUCAACCCCGUCAGGGCCGUUGAACCUGGCAGACUUGAGUGGGCGAGAAGCAGGCGGAAUGCGCGGUGUAGCGGUGAAAUGCAUAGAUAUCGCGCAGAACGCCGAUUGCGAAGGCAGCGUGCCGGCGCCAGACUGACGCUGAGGCACGAAAGCGUGGGGAUCGAACAGGAUUAGAUACCCUGGUAGUC